UGCAACCGUAGUCUAACGGAUAGAACACAGGACUCCGACUCCUGCAAUGUGGGUUCGAUUCCCGCCGGUUGCAU
rnacentral:tRNA from 1 species